AUGGCGUCCUGAAGUGUUGACCAAAUAAGGCAGUUAAAAAGCAGAGGGCUUCAUAUAUAAAGGACGAAGGAAGGAGGAAACGCAAUGAGUUAUCAACUAUACCGAAAUACAACGUUGGGAAACAGCCUACAGGAGAGCUUGGAUGAAUUAAUACAGGUGAAAUAUUUCAUCCGAGUGCAUUUCUUUUAGCUAUCUAUAAUUCUAUAAAUAUAUAAAGUUUUAUUACAAAUUGGCAAAUUAUUGAUCAAAUAUGCCUCAUGGUUUUAAAACCAUAUUAAAAAAGUUCUUUUUUCUUAUAAUAGUCGCAACAAAUAAGUCCCAAGCUUGCCCUGCAAGUUUUGCUGCAGUUUGAUAAAGCUAUUAAUAAUGCUUUGGCAUCGCAAGUCAAAAACAGGGCAAAUUUCAAGG